GGCUCAGGAUGAACGCUAGCGGCAGGCCUAAUACAUGCAAGUCGAGGGGCAGCGCAGUGUAGCAAUACAUGGGCGGCGACCGGCAAACGGGUGCGGAACACGUACGCAACCUUCCUUUAAGUGGGGAAUAGCCCAGAGAAAUUUGGAUUAAUACCCCGUAAGAUGGUGGUCUGGCAUCAGACAGCCAUUAAAGCUGAGGCGCUUAAAGAUGGGCGUGCGUCUGAUUAGGUAGUUGGUGAGGUAAUGGCUCACCAAGCCGACGAUCAGUAACUGGCGUGAGAGCGCGACCAGUCACACGGGCACUGAGACACGGGCCCGACUCCUACGGGAGGCAGCAGUAAGGAAUAUUGGUCAAUGGACGCAAGUCUGAACCAGCCAUGCCGCGUGAAGGAUGAAGGUCCUCUGGAUUGUAAACUUCUUUUAUGUGGGAAGAAACCACCUUUUCUAAGGGUGUGAC
rnacentral:rRNA from 1 species